UACAUGGGGUGCAAACGUUGCUCGGAAUCACUGGGCGUAAAGCGCACGUAGGCGGAUUGUUAAGUCAGGGGUGAAAUCCUGGAGCUCAACUCCAGAACUGCCUUUGAUACUGGCGAUCUUGAGUCCGGGAGAGGUGAGUGGAACUGCGAGUGUAGAGGUGAAAUUCGUAGAUAUUCGCAAGAACACCAGUGGCGAAGGCGGCUCACUGGCCCGAUACUGACGCUGAGGCACGAAAGCGUGGGGAGCAAACAGG
rnacentral:rRNA from 1 species